rnacentral:rRNA from 1 species
CGCAUCUGUGCAUGCAGCAUAUCAAUAAGCGGAGGAAAAGAAACUAACAAGGAUUCCCUUAGUAACGGCGAGUGAAGCGGGAAGAGCUCAAAUUUGAAAUCUUCAAGGUUUUACCUUGACGAAUUGUAGUUUAAAGAAGUGUUUUCUGUUGAAGUUUUGGUAAAAGUUCUUUGGAAUAGGACAUCAUAGAGGGUGAGAAUCCCGUAUUUGACCAUUAUUUUCAGCUGUGUGAUACACUUUCAAAGAGUCGGAUUGUUUGGGAAUGCAGUCCAAAAUGGGUGGUAAAUUUCAUCUAAAGCUAAAUAUUGGCGAGAGACCGAUAGCGAACAAGUACCGUGAGGGAAAGAUGAAAAGAACUUUGAAAAGAGAGUUAAACAGUACGUGAAAUUGUCAAAAGGGAAGCGUUUGACACCAGUGUUGUUUUCUCGAAAAUCAAUUAAAAAGAGUUAGAUUUUGUUGUGUAUUGACCUUAACAGCUUGCAUUUCAAUUUUCUUGCUUUUUUUAAUGCACUUUUCGUUUAACAAGUCAACAUCAGUUUCUUUUGUUGUAAAAAGGUCAUUGGAAGGUGGCUUUCUUUUCGGAGAAAGUGUUUAUAGCCUUUGACUCCUGCAAUCGGAGAGACUGAGGUCUGCAGCGUAGAUCCUUCGGGGUUAGAUACAUUUGUGCUAAGUUAUAGCUUUUUAUAGACAACUUGUUGACUAUGAUUAGUCUUGUAGCUUACUCGCUUAUGCUAUUUUACCUACGCUUAGGGUGUUGACACACGCGCGGCUCGGCUCUACACAUGACUCUGCGCAUAUCAAUAAGCGGAGGAAAAGAGGGCUAUUACCUACGCUUAGGAUGUUGAACGCGCGUGUGUGCGU